rnacentral:rRNA from 1 species
UACGGAGGGUGCAAGCGUUAUCCGGAUUUACUGGGUUUAAAGGGUGCGCAGGCGGAUAUGUAAGUCAGUGGUGAAAUCUCCGGGCUUAACCCGGAAACUGCCGUUGAUACUAUAUAUCUUGAAUGCUGUGGAGGUAAGCAGAAUAUGUCAUGUAGCGGUGAAAUGCUUAGAGAUGACAUAGAAUGCCUAUUGCGAAGGCAGCUUACUACGCAGAUAUUGACGCUCAUGCACGAAAGCGUGGGGAUCAAGCAGG